rnacentral:rRNA from 1 species
CCUACGGGUGGCAGCAGUGAGGAAUAUUGGUCAAUGGACGCAAGUCUGAACCAGCCAUGCCGCGUGCAGGAAGACGGCUCUAUGAGUUGUAAACUGCUUUUGUACGAGGGUAAACGCAGAUACGCGUAUCUGUCUGAAAGUCUCGUACGAAUAAGGAUCGGCUAACUCCGUGCCAGCAGCCGCGGUAAUACGGAUGAUUCAAGCGUUAUCCGGAUUUAUUGGGUUUAAAGGGUGCGUAGGCGGUCGGAUAAGUUAGAGGUGAAAUCCCGAGGCUUAACUUCGGAAUUGCCUCUGAUACUGUGCGGCUAGAGAGUAGUUGCGGUAGGUGGAAUGUAUGGUGUAGCGGUGAAAUGCUUAGAGAUCAGACAGAACACCGAUUGCGAAGGCAGCUUACCAAGCUACAUCUGACGUUGAGGCACGAAAGCGUGGGGAGCAAACAGGAUUAGAUACCCUUGUAGUC